UAAGGAAUAUUGGUCAAUGCCCGGAAGGGUGAACCAGCCAUCCCGCGUGAAGGAUGAAGGGGCUCUGCCUUGUAAACUUCUUUUGAAUGGGACGAAAAAGCCUCACUUGUGAGGAACUGACGGUACCAUUAGAAUAAGCACCGGCUAACUCCGUGCCAGCAGCCGCGGUAAUACGGAGGGUGCGAGCGUUAUCCGGAAUCACUGGGUUUAAAGGGUGCGUAGGCGGCUGUAUAAGUCAGUGGUGAAAGGCUGUGGCUUAACCAUGGGAUUGCCAUUGAUACUGUACGGCUUGAAUUAGGAUGAGGUUGGCGGAAUGUGACAUGUAGCGGUGAAAUGCUUAGAUAUGUCAUGGAACAUCGAUUGCAAAGGCAGCUGACUGGACCUUAAUUGACGCUGAGGCACGAAAGCGUGGGGAGCGAACAGGAUUAGAUACCCCAGUAGUCCCUGAGCGGGCUGGCAAGGCGCAU
rnacentral:rRNA from 1 species